UUGUACAUCGUCAACAGCAACUCGACUUACGGAGCGCCGUUAGACUUGAUGCCAUUUCUUCUGCGCAAGCUGGCGUCUGCACUUCCGGUCACGGUAAGAGCUGAUGAGUUUCGAAAAAAUCCGAAGGCACAGACCGGCAACCCCUUGAUUGACACUUAUGGCGAGAACGACCCAACACUGUCAUGAGAGGGAGGAAAGGGCAUCACUAAAAGUGAGUCCUACUUGUCCGCCGCACGGUGUGAUGAUGUUGGUUUGGCUGAUGGUCACGUGAUGUGCAGGCGGUGGACGAGGGCGACCUGAGUGAGAGGAAGGCGCUGAGGGACCGGCUGGGAUGUCGCAACUUCACCUGGUACCUGGACAACGUGUGGCCGGAACUGAGUGUCUACGACCGUGACGUCACGGCCUGGGGCUCGCUCGUGCACAAUGUCAGUGCUCAGUGUCUCGACAACCACAACUACCUCUUCCAGGCUCCAGCCGACCUCUUUGUGUACCCCUGCCACUACAAGCUGGCCACACAGGGAUUUUCUCUGACUAGAGACGGUCUGUUGCGCACGACCCUGCAGUGUGUGGUGGUCAAAGACAGGGUGGACGGAGGGCGCCCCAAGCUGGAGGACUGCAUCAUUGGACCUCGUGAUAAGUGGACUCAUUCCAAGGAGGGCGCUGUCGUGCACGUGAUGUCCGGCCUGUGUCUGGAUCUGGACUCAGUGGGACCUGUCAUGAGGACCUGCCAGCCUCACAGUCUGUCUCAGCUCUGGCAUUUCACCAAAUAUAUAAACUAACUUAUUUUAUUGCCAUGCUUUGUCAUCGCAGCACCACAGGGAGGAUGUCCCUAGCUGUCAGGUCUUAGUUUACUCCCGUUCCAAUCGUUCAUUCUUUCUGUGGUCAUGUCGAUGUGAUAGACAGGUUGUAGCGAAAACUGAUGUAGCUAGUGACAUGGUGAGGCGCUGACAUUGUAAAUAAUUGGUCAAGGGAUAUUUAUAUUUGCUUUCCAAUUGAGUAUUAAUUGUAGUUAUUGAAGAUUAUUUAAGAAAAUUAAUACUCAGAGUUAAUCACAGAAGUAGUCGACGAACGGCACUUUUU